rnacentral:tRNA from 1 species
GGGAGUAGAUAGGUGCUGGUGUGCCUACUAGACUUCAAAUCUAGCUUCUCGCUUAAAUAGCGAGAGGUGGGUUCGAUUCCCACAUACUCCCGCCA